CUUAAAGGAAUUGAGGACCCCGCACAAGCGGUGGAUCAUGUUGUUAAUUCGAUGAUACGCGAAGACCUUACCAGGUCUUGACAUCCCUUGCAAAGCUAUGGAGACAUAGUGGAGGUUAUCAAGGAGACAGGUGGUGCAUGGUUGUCGUCAGCUCGUGUCGUGAGAUGUUGGGUUAAGUCCCGCAACGAGCGCAACCCUUAUUGCUAGUUACCAUCAUUAAGUUGGGCACUCUAAAGAGACUGCCGGUGUCAACGGAGAAGUGGGGAUGACGUCAAGUCCUCAUGGCCUUUAUGCCCAGGGCUACACACGUGCUACAAUGGGCGGUACAAAGAGAAGCAACCUCGCGAGGGUGAGCAAAUCUCAAAAAGCCGUUCUCAGUUCGGAUUGAAGUCUGCAACUCGACUUCAUGAAGUCGGAAUCGCUAGUAAUCGCGGAUCAGCAUGCCGCGGUCGAAUACGUUCCCGGGCCUU
rnacentral:rRNA from 1 species